GCUGCGGUCAGCAGUGAAUUAUGCUUUUCGAGCGGACAGAAGGGAGCUUGCUCCCGGAUGUUAGCGGCGGACGGGUGAGUAACACGUGGGUAACCUGCCUGUAAGACUGGGAUAACUCCGGGAAACCGGAGCUAAUACCGGAUAGUUCCUUGAACCGCAUGGUUCAAGGAUGAAAGACGGUUUCGGCUGUCACUUACAGAUGGACCCGCGGCGCAUUAGCUAGUUGGUGGGGUAAUGGCUCACCAAGGCGACGAUGCGUAGCCGACCUGAGAGGGUGAUCGGCCACACUGGGACUGAGACACGGCCCAGACUCCUACGGGAGGCAGCAGUAGGGAAUCUUCCGCAAUGGACGAAAGUCUGACGGAGCAACGCCGCGUGAGUGAUGAAGGUUUUCGGAUCGUAAAGCUCUGUUGUUAGGGAAGAACAAGUGCGAGAGUAACUGCUCGCACCUUGACGGUACCUAACCAGAAAGCCACGGCUAACUACGUGCCAGCAGCCGCGGUAAUACGUAGGUGGCAAGCGUUGUCCGGAAUUAUUGGGCGUAAAGGGCUCGCAGGCGGUUUCUUAAGUCUGAUGUGAAAGCCCCCGGCUCAACCGGGGAGGGUCAUUGGAAACUGGGAAACUUGAGUGCAGAAGAGGAGAGUGGAAUUCCACGUGUAGCGGUGAAAUGCGUAGAGAUGUGGAGGAACACCAGUGGCGAAGGCGACUCUCUGGUCUGUAACUGACGCUGAGGAGCGAAAGCGUGGGGAGCGAACAGGAUUAGAUACCCUGGUAGUCCACGCCGUAAACGAUGAGUGCUAAGUGUUAGGGGGUUUCCGCCCCUUAGUGCUGCAGCUAACGCAUUAAGCACUCCGCCUGGGGAGUACGGUCGCAAGGACUGAAACUCAAAGGAAUUUGACGGGGGCCCGCACAAGCGGUGGGAGCAUGGUGGUUUAAUUUCGAAGCAACGCGAAGACCUUUACCAGGUCGUGGACAUCCUCUGACAACCCUAGAGGAUAGGGCUUUCCCUUCGGGGAACAGAAGGUGGACAGGGUGGGUGGCAUGGGAUGGUCGGUCAGCCUCGGUGGUCGGUGGAGAUGUUGGGGUUAAGGUCCCAGCAAACGAGCGGCAACCUGGAUCGUAGGUUGGCCAGCAAUUCAGUGGGGCACUCGUAAAGAGUGAACUUGCGGGUGACAAACGGGAAGGAAGGGUGGGGAUUGAA
rnacentral:rRNA from 1 species